UAGUCCACGCCGUAAACGAUGAUUACUCGAUGUUGGCGAUAUACUGUCAGCGUCCAAGCGAAAGCGUUAAGUAAUCCACCUGGGGAGUACGUCGGCAACGAUGAAACUCAAAGGAAUUGACGGGGGCCCGCACAAGCGGAGGAGCAUGUGGUUUAAUUCGAUGAUACGCGAGGAACCUUACCUGGGCUUAAAUGUUAGUGCCCGCUGCCGAAAGGUGGCUUUUCUUCGGAACACGAAGCAAGGUGCUGCAUGGCUGUCGUCAGCUCGUGCCGUGAGGUGUUGGGUUAAGUCCCGCAACGAGCGCAACCCUAUCUUUAGUUGCCAUCAGGUUAUGCUGGGACUCUAAAGAGACUGCCUAUGCAAAUAGUGAGGAAGGUGGGGACGACGGUCAAGUCAUCAUGGCCCUUACGUCCAGGGCUACACACGUGCUACAAUGGCAGGUACAAUGAAGCAAGCACUUGGCAACAGAGCUAANCUCAAAAAGCCUAGUCUCAGUUCGG
rnacentral:rRNA from 1 species